rnacentral:lncRNA from 1 species
AACGACUUAAUGGGCUUAAAAACGAAAAUGUAAGUAGUAAAAUUGGUUGGGCUUUUCAUUUUCGAAAAACAUUUAAAUCAAUUGAAAAAACAAUUGAAAAAAGAUUUGGAAUGUUUUGUAAUUAAUAGGAAAAUUCAGGGGUAGAUUCAUAAGAAGUAUUUUGCUUUAAUAGUAUAGAUAUAUGGAGAAGAAUUGAUCUUUCAUUUGCUAAUACGUGAAGUGAGCCCCGUACACAUGUGGUUAAGACGAUGAAAUAAGAUGGCUACAUUGCCGUGAACAACUGAGGAGGUUUCAGCCAAAAAAAAAAAAAAUACAACAACAACUGAGGGUUGCAUCUAGCUUUGUUAAGAAGUUGUAAUAAUGGUGCAAGAAAGCUUCUUGCUUCUCCCGCAAGUGUUUUAUGAUUUUUUUUUUUGUUUAUAUCCAUCCCUCUUAACUUGUACUAUUAUUUAUAUAUGUUUAGUUAUAAUUUUCACUAUAUUUAAUUUAUGGAUGGUGGCUCCAUAUUUUGAUUUGUAUAGUCUGCAUAAGUUUGAAAGUCUGAGUAUGAUUCAUAAAUUCAGUAUACUUGAUUUUUUU